CCUAAUCCUGUGCCAAGUGGCUUCUCACCAUUGGUUGCUCCCCCAAUCGGUGAGACAGCUAGGGCUGCAUCUCUCCCUCGCGUUGACGCCGCCGCCCCGUCCCCUUCUCUUCGUUGCCUCCCCUCGCGCCGCCGCCCUCCGAGAAGCAACGCGGCCACUACUGCUCUGUGUUGCGCCGAGCUUGCCACCGCCGCCGCUCUCCCCGUCGAGCUCGUCCCUCACCACCGGCCCUCAAGUUGUGGAGGGGCAACAGGCAGCGGUGGACGAGGAGAUCGCCGCCACCCACCGCCUCGAACCAUGCCGUCGGCACCCAUCCACCCGUCCUCCUCUCCCCUCCCUCCUCGCUGAGAUCGCCGUCGGUGCUGCUCUCCCCGUCGAGCUCGCCCCUCGCCAUUGCCGGGAGGAGACACCACCGGCCAAAGCGUCGAUGGGGGCCUCCAUGGUUGUCGGCGACCUCCUCCUUGCCGACCUCAGCCCGCCACAUCCGUCUUUCAUGCCCGUCUCCCUCCACUCGAGCCGUCGACUCGCGCUCGCCCUUCGUCGGAGGAGUGACGAGGAGGCCAGGUGGAACGCGCCGUCGUCGGGUUCCAGUGGCUCGACCAGGCCCUCCACCGUAGAGACCCCUCCUUCAUGACCCGCACGAGAAGUUCCUCCGCCCCAUGCGGGGCAUGCAGGGCACGCUCAUCGUCGCAUCCACGCUCCAGAUCGUCAUGGGCUUCAGCGGUCACUGGCGCAUCGUCAUCAGACUGCUGAGCCCGCUGUUGGCCGUGCCGCUCAUCGCACUCGUAGGAUUUGGGCUCUACGAGCUUGGAUUACCAAGUGAUAACUGUACCAUACCCAUUCCAGUGGGGAGCACCGACUUUUGAUGCUGGUGAAUGCUUUGCCAUGAUGGCAGCUACUUUUGUUGCUCUUGUUUUAUAGCUUCAAUCUGCGAUGUGGAAGAAUAUUGGCAUGACUAAUUUCUCAAAAAAAAAAAAACUUGCUUUUUCAGCACCAUGUUGUUAAUCCAUCAGAUAUGAACCAAUGAAUUUAUAAACAGAAAUGUUUUGUGUUGCUCUUUCAGCUAUGUCUAUUGUGUUGUCAUGGCCAUACUUGCACAACAGCGACGCGUCUCCAAGAUGCACUCUUUAGUAUGGCGUCAGAACAACUAAAUUUUCAGUCAUGAACUAUUUUCUUUAUUUUUUUUCUACUUGCUCACUAAACAAUGCAUUGACUUUCUUUCCCAAUUCUGUCCAUUCAUCGCUGAUACGUGGAUUAUUUUGUGUGUUUGUAUACUCUGUACAAGUCUAGCAAUGUUCAUUCUUUGUCAUUUAAGAGUGCUCUAUUUUGCUCUGUUACUGUAGUAGCAAUUUGUGACUCGGAUACAAAUUGUUUGGCUCGAGUGGUUGAAUUUAUAGGGACAUGCUAUCUUACUUGCCAUUAUGCAGCCUAUACCAUGCAUCUGUCAUGGCAGUAUUAACCCCACCAUCAACAUUUGCUUAAAAUGUAAAUGAAAUCAGUUCUAAUAUAAGGAUCUAUUUUGAAAAUAGAACAUAUGGAUACAAAAGAGCUAAUUUAUUUUGUAUUUAUUUACAACAUGUGAUUCACUACUUUCUUUAUCAGGUGUCCAUGUUAUUUUUUCAUUUCUUCUUUUUGGUCAGAAGCAGAGUUCGUACACAUGAUUAGGUAGGUCGUGGAUUUGUGCAUCUAGCUAGCAUCGCUAAUCUUGUGUGUAUGAUGCUUAGCCAAGCAGUGUUUCAUUCAUCUGAAAAUAGAUCAAGUGGUACUUUGAUUUUUCUCCACCUAACAAUUUUUUUGUUCUUUCCUUUUGAAUACUUAGCUAAGCAGUGUUUCAUUCAUCUGAAACUCAAGAUUUGAUAGUGGCAACCUCAAGGAGAUGGCGUUGCAUUUAAGUGUUUCUUGUUCCCAUUUCUGGUUCCUGAACUUAACCUCUAUCCUUUCCUACAAAAUUAGGAGAGCAAAUGAUGGUUUGCUUACUCAUUUUCUUGGUGUUGUAUUACUAAUAUGGAGAAAUACUAUACUGAGAGGAAGUUAUAGGUUUGGAAAAUGACAGUGGUUAACUAUCUCGCAUCUAUACUCAAUUCAUGUAAAUGCCCCUGCAUAGAUGUCAUGUUCUCGGGGAUCUUCUUUUCAGCCAUUUGUUUGUAUAUUAAUGUGAUGUUGAUCUA